UACGUAGGGUGCGAGCGUUAAUCGGAAUUACUGGGCGUAAAGCGUGCGCAGGCGGUUCGUUGUGUCGGCGGGGAAAGCCCCGGGCUCAACCUGGGAAUGGCCGGUGAAACUGGCGAACUGGAGUGUGGCAGAGGGGGGUGGAAUUCCGCGUGUAGCAGUGAAAUGCGUAGAGAUGCGGAGGAACACCGAUGGCGAAGGCAGCCCCCUGGGCUGACACUGACGCUCAGGCACGAAAGCGUGGGGAGCAAACAGG
rnacentral:rRNA from 1 species